rnacentral:rRNA from 1 species
UACGUAGGGUGCGAGCGUUAAUCGGAAUUACUGGGCGUAAAGCGUGCGCAGGCGGUUCGUUGUGUCGGCGGUGAAAGCCCCGGGCUCAACCUGGGAAUGGCCGUUGAAACUGGCGAACUGGAGUGUGGCAGAGGGGGGUGGAAUUCCGCGUGUAGCAGUGAAAAUGCGUAGAGAUGCGGAGGAACACCGAUGGCGAAGGCAGCCCCCCUGGGCUGACACUGACGCUCAGGCACGAAAGCGUGGGGAGCAAACAGG